rnacentral:rRNA from 1 species
UGAACGCUGGCGGCGUGCCUACUACAUGCAAGUCGAGCGAACAGACGAGGAGCUUGCUCCUCUGACGUUAGCGGCGGACGGGUGAGUAACACGUGGAUAACCUACCUAUAAGACUGGGAUAACUUCGGGAAACCGGAGCUAAUACCGGAUAAUAUAUUGAACCGCAUGGUUCAAUAGUGAAAGACGGUUUUGCUGUCACUUAUAGAUGGAUCCGCGCCGCAUUAGCUAGUUGGUAAGGUAACGGCUUACCAAGGCAACGAUGCGUAGCCGACCUGAGAGGGUGAUCGGCCACACUGGAACUGAGACACGGUCCAGACUCCUACGGGAGGCAGCAGUAGGGAAUCUUCCGCAAUGGGCGAAAGCUUGACGGAGCAACGCCGCGUGAGUGAUGAAGGUCUUCGGAUCGUAAAACUCUGUUAUUAGGGAAGAACAAAUGUGUAAGUAACUAUGCACGUCUUGACGGUACCUAAUCAGAAAGCCACGGCUAACUACGU